GUUGGGUAGAAUUUCUGGGAGUCAUCAGGAUGAGGUCAGCAGAGUUUAUUAGGUCUGAACAGACCAAGAUUUGGCUGUGUGAAGGGAAAGCUCUGCUCUGGUUGGGUGAGCAA